GAAAUACUUAAUAUAGAGAUUGACGGUGAAUAAAGCUCCAUCGCCAUCUUAGUUGGCUAUUCCUAUACUCAACAUUGAAUGAAAAUGUGUUGCAACUAAAGAUGAUUAAAGCCCCAUGACUACAAUCAGCAGCUAGCCAUAUCAAGCAACAUGCUCUACCAUCGUGGUAGGGAUGAAAUGGUAAGCAUUAAUGAAAUGGCCGAUAUGGUUCUCAGUUUUGAAGCCAUCCAUCCACAUUGCAC